UGGGAUCACGAUCAGUAGAAUGGUAGAAUGGUGACGUCACAAAAAUAAUUCUACAAUCGACAAUUUUGGUAUCACGUUAACACGCUUGGGAAAGUAGAAUCGGUGCUCGGCAAUGUUCGGAUAUUCUACUAGCCAUGUUAAAAAUAUCGCUUCUUCUUCUUAAAAAUAUUGCUUUUUGACGUGUGGUUGUCUUUAUUUUGUGGUGGUUGUAUUCAAAAAGCUAACCUAAAGAAAGAUUAUAAUUUGUGAUUAUUUUCAAUUUGUAUAUUUUUGUCUUGGGUUGUUUGGAACUAUUUUAUUAGAAAUCACUAAAUUUUUAAAUUUUACCUGUGACUAGAGAACAUUGUUAUAUUAAGGUAUUUUUAUGUGUGUGAUCCAGACUUAAAAAUUUUAAACAUCGAUGCUAGAUGGGGAGGUGCAACACAUGAUGUGGAGAAACUCAAAUGUAAAACUUUUUUGCAGCAGAUCGUUUAAAAUAGAGAUCAAAGCAUUUUCCAUUUCUAUUCUGGCAAAGAUUACUUUCACUUCUUAGUUAUCUUUGCUGGACGGUGAAGCUUUAUAUCUUAUUAUGAAGUAUUUUGAACAUAAAACUUUUGUUUUAUGGAUGCAUUGAUCAAAUAUCUUAAAGAAAUGUUUAUUUAAAGUUUCAUAAUAAUUUUUAUAAGUAGUUUAAUAUAAUUACUUAUUUUUGCACUAGAAAUAAUAAUUGUAAAGCUUCAUUGACUAAUGGCCAGUUUCACCAAAGAUGAAUAGUAGUUUAUUCGAUGAAUAAAAUUAUUCAACUGAUAAAACUGACACAACUAUGUUUCUCUAACGUCAAAUAGUACUUAUUUUAUUUAUUCAUCAAAUAAAUAUUUACUCUUCAAAUGAAUUGACGAGUUAAUCUCACUUUAAAUAUCUAUAUAAAGAAAAUUUGUCAAUUUAAUUUUAAAUUAUCAAACUAUUCACUGAUUUAUUUGUUGUUGGUGAAACUGGCCAUAGAGAGUAAAAUUGCAUUAUUUUUCAAUUUACAUAAAUUUGUGGUUUAUUUGUGAUUUAUUCUUUGUUCUUAUUUUAGUCUUGGUAUGAAACAAUGUUAAGACAAUACUGUGUGCUUUUUCAGUCCUAUGAAAGAAAAUGUUUUGGAUGUAAUAGAGAAGUACUACAACUUUGUUAUGAAGAUUUGUCUUUAUGUUAUUUUUAUAAUGUUCAUGGAUUAUAUUUGUUUUUAUGUUUUCUUCAGUUUAAAUAAAGUUUAUGUUUUACCCA